UACGUAGGGCGCAAGCGUUGUCCGGAAUUAUUGGGCGUAAAGAGCUCGUAGGCGGUUUGUCGCGUCUGUCGUGAAAGCUUGGGGCUUAACCCUAAGUCUGCGGUGGAUACGGGCAGGCUAGAGGCAGGUAGGGGAGAACGGAAUUCCCGGUGUAGCGGUGAAAUGCGCAGAUAGUCGGGAGGAACACCGGUGGCGAAGGCGGUUCUCUGGGCCUGUACUGACGCUGAGGAGCGAAAGCGUGGGGAGCGAACAGG
rnacentral:rRNA from 1 species